UACACGCUGUGACUAGCAUAUCAAUAAGCGGAGGAAAAGAGACUAACAAGGAUUCCCCUAGUAACGGCGAGUGAAGCGGGAAGAGCUCAAAUUUGAAAUCUUAAAGGGUUUCCCUUUACGAAUUGUAGUUUAAAGAAGUGUUUUCUGUUGAGGUUUUGGUAAAAGUUCUUUGGAAUAGGACAUCAUAGAGGGUGAGAAUCCCGUAUUUGACCUUUACUUUCAACUUUGUGAUACACUUUCAAAGAGUCGGAUUGUUUGGGAAUGCAGUCCAAAAUGGGUGGUAAAUUUCAUCUAAAGCUAAAUAUUGGCGAGAGACCGAUAGCGAACAAGUACCGUGAGGGAAAGAUGAAAAGAACUUUGAAAAGAGAGUUAAACAGUACGUGAAAUUGUCAAAAGGGAAGCGUUUGACACCAGUGUUGUUUUUCUGAAAAUCAAUUAAAGAACUGUUUAUGCUAAGCUGUUUAGACUUUAUCAGCUAUCUGCUUAGUUUUGAGCUUUUCUUUAAUGCACUUUUCAGUUAACAAGUCAACAUCAAUUUCUUUUGCUGUAAAAAAGCUUGAGGAAGGUGGCUUGAGAUUCGUCUUAAGUGUUUAUAGCCUCUUGCCUAUGCAGUCGGAGAGAUUGAGGUCUGCAGCGUAGAUCCUUCGGGGCUAAAUGCAUUUGUGCUAAGUUAUAGCAUUUUAUAGACAACUUGUUGACUAUGAUUUGUCUUGUAGCUUACUCGCCUAUGUUAUUUUACCUACGCUUAGGAUGUUGAAGAUGUAGCACAUCAU
rnacentral:rRNA from 1 species